AACGAACGCUGGCGGCAGGCCUAACACAUGCAAGUCGAGCGCACUCUUCGGAGUGAGCGGCGGACGGGUUAGUAACGCGUGGGAACGUGCCCAGAUCUACGGAAUAGCCUCGGGAAACUGAGAGUAAUACCGUAUACGCCCUUCGGGGGAAAGAUUUAUCGGAUUUGGAUCGGCCCGCGUUAGAUUAGAUAGUUGGUGGGGUAACGGCCUACCAAGUCUACGAUCUAUAGCUGGUUUUAGAGGAUGAUCAGCAACACUGGGACUGAGACACGGCCCAGACUCCUACGGGAGGCAGCAGUGGGGAAUCUUGGACAAUGGGCGCAAGCCUGAUCCAGCCAUGCCGCGUGAGUGAUGAAGGCCUUAGGGUCGUAAAGCUCUUUCGCCUGUGAUGAUAAUGACAGUAGCAGGUAAAGAACCCCCGGCUAACUCCGUGCCAGCAGCCGCGGUAA
rnacentral:rRNA from 1 species